GUGGGGAAUUUUGGACAAUGGGGGCAACCCUGAUCCAGCCAUGCCGCGUGCGGGAAGAAGGCCUUCGGGUUGUAAACCGCUUUUGUCAGGGAAGAAAUCAUUUGGGUUAAUACCUCGGAGGGAUGACGGUACCUGAAGAAUAAGCACCGGCUAACUACGUGCCAGCAGCCGCGGUAAUACGUAGGGUGCGAGCGUUAAUCGGAAUUACUGGGCGUAAAGCGUGCGCAGGCGGUUUUGUAAGAUCGAUGUGAAAUCCCCGGGCUCAACCUGGGAACUGCAUUGGUGGCUGCAAGGCUGGAGUGCGGCAGAAGGGGAUGGAAUUCCGCGUGUAGCAGUGAAAUGCGUAGAUAUGCGGAGGAACACCGAUGGCGAAGGCAAUCCCCUGGGCCUGCACUGACGCUCAGGCACGAAAGCGUGGGGAGCAAACAGGAUUAGAAACCCGGGUAGUCC
rnacentral:rRNA from 1 species